rnacentral:rRNA from 1 species
GGCAAGACUGGUGUCAGCCGCCGCGGUAACACCAGCCCCUCGAGUGGUGGGGAUGAUUAUUUGGCCUAAAGCGUCCGUAGCUGGCCCUGUAAAUCUCUCGUUAAAUCCAACGUCCUAAGCGUUGGGCUGCGAGGGAAACUGCAGAGCUAGAGGGUGGGAGAGGUCAGCGGUAUUCCUGGGGUAGGGGCGAAAUCCAUUGAUCCCAGGAGGACCACCAGUGGCGAAGGCUGCUGACUUGAACACGCCUGACAGUGAGGGACGAAAGCUGGGGUAGCGAAUCGGAUUAGAUACCCGAGUAGUCCCAGCCGUAAACGAUGCAGGCUAGGUGUUGGGUCGGCCAUGUGCUGGCUCAGUGCCACAGGGAAGCCAUUAAGCCUGCCGCCUGGGA